GACGAACGCUGGCGGCGUGCUUAACACAUGCAAGUCGAACGGUAAGGCCCCUUCGGGGGUACACGAGUGGCGAACGGGUGAGUAACACGUGAGCAACCUGCCCUUGACACUGGAAUAACAGUUGGAAACAGCUGCUAAUGCCGGAUAUGACCUUCGGUGGCAUCACCUGGAGGUGGAAAGUGCUUAGCGGUCAAGGAUGGGCUCGCGGCCUAUCAGCUAGUUGGUGGGGUAACGGCUCACCAAGGCUUCGACGGGUAGCCGGCCUGAGAGGGCGACCGGCCACACUGGGACUGGGAUACGGCCCAGACUCCUACGGGAGGCAGCAGUGGGGAAUAUUGCACAAUGGGCGCAAGCCUGAUGCAGCAACGCCGCGUGCGGGAUGACGGCCUUCGGGUUGUAAACCGCUUUCAGUUCCGACGAAGCGCAAGUGACGGUAGGAACAGAAGAAGGACCGGCCAACUACGUGCCAGCCGCCGCUGUAACAC
rnacentral:rRNA from 1 species